rnacentral:other from 1 species
AAAUUCCUACCAUGUGCGUAUAAUGAGUUUAUAUUGAUCCAACAUUUUUUUUACGGGAAUCGAACUCUUUUUGUGGAAUGAUAUUUAAGUCAUGUUACUUGAAAACAGGAAGCAAAAAGGAGAUGCCCACCUGCCAGGAGCGGGUUCAAAAUAACUCGGAAUACGGCAUGGUGGGUUUUUA